UGCACUCAACCUUUCCCUUCUCUACAUUCUUGAUACUCUUUGCUUCUUUCCUUCUCAUAGAACUUAGCCAUCCUUCUCUUUAUCUCCUAUUCCAUUCCCUCCAGUCAGCUUUAUGAGAAGACCCCAAUAGUACAUUGCUAUUGCUGUUUAUUUGAAGAUUCCUCUUUCCAUAAGCUGGGAUGUCUUUGAGCAUCUGACUGCCUGAUAACCUUUAAGACCCAGUGCUGAUGUCUGCGCUGGACAUGAGAAGGAACCAAAUAUUAUUGAAUGGGAGUUGCCCUUUAAUUAGUUGGUAAAGCAGCAAGUGAAAACUAAUUAGGCAGAAGAUACAGAGGCGUGUGUAUGGAAGGAAAUUCUUGAAAAGGUAAACCAAUUAACCUUUACCAGGAAGCUAGUACAAAGAGAAGGGGUGGUAAAACGACAUCAUUUGUAAAGAUCAGAUUUCUCGCUCCUGCCAAAAAUAUGCCUACGAAUGCCAGGAGACAGACUACAUUUGCUCUACCUUGUAAUCUACAGAUUUUUCAGAUUCUACAUUGGGCUGCGUGCAGAAAUGAGUCAGCAUAGCAGGAUGGAGACUACUCUCCACAGAAAAGCGUUCUUGCAAGUCGGCCCUUGGUUGAUGUCUAGGAAUUUGGAUUUUGGGAAUGUGCCUGCCAUUCCAUGUUGCCAUGGAGACCAGGUGAUACAUGGAUGCAAAUUCAGUGGCUGGGCAGAAGUUUCAAGGUCAGGGCAAGGGAAAAGACAGACAGUAAAUGAGACUGCAGAGGCAACACUAACAAGCAAGGUUCUGCAAGGGCUGAACAUCACAUUCAUCACACUUUGGAGUUUGCCCUCGGAGAUCCCCCUCCUGGAGCAGGGGAAUUCCUGAUCUAUCAACUUCUGUGUCAGUCUCCUGAACCGGAGGACCGGCUUCUUUUCCCUUCUUCUCCAUACUCAAGAAAACACCUUAAUGAGAGAGCUGGCUGCAAAAUCCCUUCCAAGAGAUCAUGGGUCAUCACAGUCAGAGACAUGUCAAAGCACAGGCAGUGCAGGCUGGGUGGAAAUGCGGUUUGGAAAUUCAGAAGGAGUUUACCACUUGAAUAACAGAUGCAUUGUGUCAUUUCUUCUGGUGGUCAUUUUGACAUCGAAGCAAUCAUCUUGAAUUUUGCUAUUUCUUUCUAAUUUUAAUUCCCUUCUAUUUGGCUUUAUUAUUAAUCCAGAGAAGGCUUUUCUUUUUUUUUCCAAAAAAGACAAAUAUUUGGUAUUGAUCAUCUUACCAAGAAGAACAGAAGAGUAUGGCCAUGUUACCUUAGAGCUAUUAAUGCUAUUGCAGCAUAGGAUGGAACAAUUGAGGCUUCAUUUGUGCGGGGAGAGAAUUCAGUCUUCUUCAAAGCUGAUCUCUCUCUCUCUCUGUGUGUGUGUGUGUGUGUGUGUGUGUGUGUGUGUAUCUAAUACCAGGAUCUCAUUUUAUCUGUAAUUGAAACGUAAACUAAUGCACUAAUAUUAGUCUAUCACCUAUCGAGAAAAAGAGAGUCUUCAGUGAUCAGAAAUCAACUUAAUACACUCUAAGUCCUUUUAACAUCUUACACCACUUAAACCACACAGGCACAUGCAUGGGGUGAGUGUAAAAACAAACGGACACGUCAUAGAAGACAGUUCGCAAUUUUAUCAGAAGUCUUAAAAUAUAUUUACACUAUGAAUUCGUGUUUCACUGCGAAGAAUAUAUCCUAAGAAAGUAAUUUCAAUGCUGCAGUUAACUGUUGCUUCUGCCUGCCCUGGAAAGGUUGUUCCUUCCGCUACUGGCACCCAAAUUCCCUCUGGGAAUGUCUCUCGUGCCCACUCUCCCCCCAUGCGUUUACGUGGGGCUGGUGCCCUCCUCUGCUUAGAGAGCAGUCCCAGUGUCAGGUCUAAGGAAUUAGUGAAUGUCAUUGUUUUGCACUGUAAUCUGUUCAAAGCUCUAGGCCAGGCAUGUCCCAGAACAUUAAUAGAACUGUGGAAAUAAGAAGGUCUCUUGUUAAUCACAUGUAUUGCCGGAAGGAUAUGAGCUUGAAAAGGUAGGGUACCACCACACGGACAGAACCUAACUAAGAAGGUAUCUGUCACAGAAAACAGUAGGGCUGAGCAUGUGAACCUAGAACGGACGCCUGGCCUCUCUCACCAUCGGUUAGAAUCUUGGCUUGAGGAAGACAGAGCUUCUGUGUGCACUGCUGUAUCUCUGCUACCAAGAAUGUCAUUUGGGAGAUGCUCAUAAAUUGUGGAAUAAAGACUUUGGGGAACAAACUCCUGAUGAGGGCCCUCGAGUACCUCCACGAAGCCAUUCCUAAAGCCAAUGUACUUCUUUCCAGUCACGACAUUUAACACAUUCUUGUUGUGUGGGUGUGUGUUUGUUUUCUGGCUUAAGGCAGCUUGAAUUGGGUUCAUAACAAAUAAACAUUUCUAAUACAAGA